rnacentral:rRNA from 1 species
UCAGUUCGGACUGGGGUCUGCAACCGACCCCACGAAGCUGGAUUCGCUAGUAAUCGCGCAUCAGCCAUGGCGCGGUGAAUACGUUCCCGGGCCUUGUACACACCGCCCGUCAAGCCAUGAAAGCCGGGGGCGCCUGAAGUCCGUGACCGCGAGGGUCGGCCUAGGGUGAAACCGGUGAUUGGGGCUAAGUCGUAACAAGGUACC